AGUGAACGCUGGCGGUAGGCCUAACACAUGCAAGUCGAACGGCAGCACAGUAAGAGCUUGCUCUUACGGGUGGCGAGUGGCGGACGGGUGAGGAAUACAUCGGAAUCUACUUUUUCGUGGGGGAUAACGUAGGGAAACUUACGCUAAUACCGCAUACGACCUACGGGUGAAAGCAGGGGAUCUUCGGACCUUGCGCGAUUGAAUGAGCCGAUGUCGGAUUAGCUAGUUGGCGGGGGAAAGGCCCACCAAGGCGACGAUCCGUAGCUGGUCUGAGAGGAUGGUCAGCCACACUGGAACUGAGACACGGUCCAGACUCCUACGGGAGGCAGCAGUGGGGAAUAUUGGACAAUGGGCGCAAGCCUGAUCCAGCCAUACCGCGUGGGUGAAGAAGGCCUUCGGGUUGUAAAGCCCUUUUGUUGGGAAAGAAAAGCAGCAGGUUAAUACCCCGCUGUUCUGACGGUACCCAAAGAAUAAGCACCGGCUAACUUCGUG
rnacentral:rRNA from 1 species